GGGUACUUAGCGCAGUGGUAGCGCGCCUCAUUUGCACGCUCAUUUCAUGAGACGCUUUGAGGAGGUCGCAGGAUCAAUCCCUGCAGUAUCCA